rnacentral:tRNA from 1 species
GUAGCUCAGUCGGUAGAGUGUUUGCCUAGCACACAGAAGGCCCUAGGUUCAGUUCCUGGC